GCAACUGUAAUUUAAUGGUAAAAUAAUCAGUUUCCACCUGAAAUUUAAGGGUUCGAUUCCCUUUAGUUGUA
rfam:Sporothrix insectorum RCEF 264 scaffold_37, whole genome shotgun sequence.